rnacentral:rRNA from 1 species
AGCUCCAAUAGCGUAUACUAAUAUUGCUGUUGUUAAAAAGCUCGUAGUUGGAUCUCGGUUUCGGGCGGGUGGUGCGCCUUGCGGCGUUUACUGUCUGCCCGGACGAUUUUGUUGGUACGUUCAUGGUGCUCUUAAUCGGGUGCCUUGAGUGGCCAGCACGUUUACUUUGAAAAAAUUGGAGUGCUCAAAGCAGGCGCUACAGCCUGAACAAUUGUGCAUGGAAUAAUGGAAUAGGAUCUCGGUUCUAUUUCGUUGGCUUUCGGAGUCGAGGUAAUGAUUAAUAGGGACAGACGGGGGCAUUCGUACUGCGACGUUAGAGGUGAAAUUCUUGGAUCGUCGCAAGACGAACUACUGCGAAAGCAUUUGCCAAGAAUGUUUUCA